rnacentral:rRNA from 1 species
GACGAACGCUGGCGGCGUGCCUAAUACAUGCAAGUCGAGCGAAGUUUUUCUGGUGCUUGCACUAGAAAAACUUAGCGGCGAACGGGUGAGUAACACGUAAAGAACCUGCCUCAUAGACUGGGACAACUAUUGGAAACGAUAGCUAAUACCGGAUAACAGUAUUUCUCGCAUGAGAGAUAUUUAAAAGUUGGUUAUGCUAACACUAUGAGAUGGCUUUGCGGUGCAUUAGCUAGUUGGUGGGGUAAAGGCCCACCAAGGCGACGAUGCAUAGCCGACCUGAGAGGGUGAUCGGCCACACUGGGACUGAGACACGGCCCAGACUCCUACGGGAGGCAGCAGUAGGGAAUCUUCCGCAAUGGGCGAAUGCCUGACGGAGCAACGCCGCGUGAGUGAAGAAGGAUUUCGGUUCGUAAAGCUCUGUUGUUAGGGAAGAAUGGAUAUGUAGUAACUAUACAUGUAAGAGACGGUACCUAACCAGAAAGCCACGGCUAACUACGUG